AUUGAACGCUGGCGGAAUGCUUUACACAUGCAAGUCGAGCGGGGUGAUGGUGCUUGCACUAUCACUUAGCGGCGGACGGGUGAGUAAUGCUUAGGAAUCUGCCUAUUAGUGGGGGACAACAUCUCGAAAGGGAUGCUAAUACCGCAUACGUCCUACGAGAGAAAGCAGGGGAUCACUUGUGACCUUGCGCUACUAGAUGAGCCUAAGUCGGAUUAGCUAGUUGGUGGGGUAAAGGCCUACCAAGGCGACGAUCUGUAGCGGGUCUGAGAGGAUGAUCCGCCACACUGGGACUGAGACACGGCCCAGACUCCUACGGGAGGCAGCAGUGGGGAAUAUUGGACAAUGGGGGGAACCCUGAUCCAGCCAUGCCGCGUGUGUGAAGAAGGCCUUAUGGUUGUAAAGCACUUUAAGCGAGGAGGAGGCUCUUUUGGUUAAUACCCAAGAUGAGUGGACGUUACUCGCAGAAUAAGCACCGGCUAACUCUGUGCCAGCAGCCGCCGUAA
rnacentral:rRNA from 1 species